UACAGGGGGUGCAAACGUUGCUCGGAAUCAUUGGGCGUAAAGCGCACGUAGGCGGUCUGUUAUGUCGGAUGUGAAAGCCCUUGGCUCAACUGAGGAAGUGCAUCCGAAACUGGCAGGCUAGAGUACUAAAGAGGAUCGCGGAAUUCCGGUGUAGAGGUGAAAUUCGUAGAUAUCGGGAGGAACACCGGUGGCGAAGGCGGCGA
rnacentral:rRNA from 1 species